AGAGUACUCCCUCCGUCCGAAAAUACUUGUCCUAAGAUUACUGUAUCUAGACUUAUUUUAGUUAUAAAUACAUUCAUUAUAUCCAUUUCUAUGACAAGUAUUUUCGAACGGAGGAAGUAUGAG
rnacentral:pre_miRNA from 1 species